CGAGCCCGCACCCUUCACCACCUGCUCCUCGCGCCUGGAGGCUAUGGCCGCGCGGGAAGAUUCCCGCUGCCUCGCCGGCUCCGGGACGUCGACAGCCGCAACUGCUGUUGAAGGCAGCCGGAGGAGAGAAGCGGGAUGUGCUGCUGAUGGUGGCCACCGUCCGCUGGUUGCAGUGGUAUGAUGGCGCAGGCAGCUGAAGGAGCUAGGCGGGAUGUACUGUUGAUGGUCUCCGCCGUCUGCUGAUGCACUGUUAGGACGCCGCAGCCCGCAGGUCAGGCCAAUUCCUUGAGCUGCAGGAAAUUUUUUUGGGGGGAGAAGAAUUGCACAUGGUUUCCACGUUUGGUUGCACAUCACUCCUAUUUGCAUGCUUCUAUUUUAGUGCUGGUCUGAAGCCUGCAAGUGGAUGCUUGGUUUGGUUUGAUUGCGUAGCCUUCUAAUAUGUUUGGCGAA